rnacentral:lncRNA from 1 species
AGAAUAUAAUGCCAAAUCAUCAUCACCUCUCAUUGCAAUGCCUGCAUAUAUAACUUAGUGAAGUACUUUGAUCUUGAUCUUGGUUAAGAGUUGUUCCAGCAAUAAAGAAAAUUGUUAAACAGAAUCUCGGUCACCUGACUGAGCAAAACAAGGAAAUUAGCUAUACCAUCUACUGUAAUGAAAGUGAAAUCAAUAAAAAGUAAACCCAUAAUAAAAAAACUGAUGCUAGGCUAAUCGUAAAUUCUACUGUCGCUAUAAAUAAGUGACAGGCAUAAGUCCAGUUUCAUGUUGAUGGACUUGUAAGGCCUCAAAAAGAAAAUAAGUAGCAUAUAUGAAAAAGACAAAGGGUCAAAUGAAGGUUAAAGGAGAUGUCAUGACGAACCUCACUAGAUUUGACACAUUUUUACCCUUAAAGUCCAACUCUUCCUUCUCCUUAUCAUCCCUGUAACCUCUAUGUUUUAAUUAUUAUCUUCCCAUAUGAUCUCCAGGACAUUGUCAUUCACAUCAACUUGCACUUAAUUUUCAAGCA